rnacentral:lncRNA from 1 species
GAGUUUGUGAAGUUAAUUCUGGCUCAAAAUCCUCAGCUUGCUGCUGAACUGGAUUCGCGACAGUCAUCAGCUCUUCACAUAGCUUCAGCUAAAGGACACCUACAAAUUAUCAAGAUGUUGUUAGUAGUGAAUCCUGAUAUAUGCUUAGCUCGUGAUCGCGAUGGUAGAAAUCCUCUCCAUCUAGCAGCCAUCAAAGGUCGAGUUAAAGUCAUCAAAGAACUAAUACAAAUCAGGCCUCGAGCAGCUCUAGGAACGACGAUCUAUGGGGAAAACGUUUUGCAUUUGUGUGUGAAGCAUAAUCAGCUGGAGGUUCUCAAGGUGCUGAUGGAGAUUGGAUCAUGGGACCAUGAAUUCUUGAAUGCAAAGGAUAGUGAUGCCUUCACCAUUCUGCAUUUGGCUGUUGCUGAUAAGCAAAUUGAGGUAUGCUAUUGUUCUUAGAAAAGAAAUUUACAUCGUUUUUUCUUAUAAUCGUAGUGUUCGGGCCAGCUUGUGUACACCACGAUUAAUUUUACGUGAUACCUGCUAAUUCUCACCUUAUGGUUCUCAACCUACUUCAUUGAUCGCUAGGUUGGCUGCGAAAUUAACUUCAUUUUCUUAUAGUUAUUAAACCACCUACCAUUCUUGCAGACUAUCAAAUACUUGCUAAAGACCAAUCAAAUAGAUGUGAAUGCAAUGGAUGCAAAUGGGAAUACAGCAUUAGAUAUUUUAGCACAGAGUAGGAGGGACAUGAUUGACCUACAAAUUGGAGACACUAUCAGAGAUGCUGGAGGCUUAAGAGCAAAGGAUAUCCAAAAUGAUAUCAAAAUUCCAAAUAAAUUAGCUGCAACUCCGCAUUCACUACCAGCCUCAACAACACCAGCAUAUUUAGGAGGAAAUCAGGCCCAAAACCAUCCAUCAAAAGGCGAUUGGCUAUCCAAAAAACGCGAAACAAUAAUGGUGGUGGCCUCACUUAUUGCAACCAUGGCAUUCCAAGCUGGAAUGAACCCUCCAGGAGGUGUUUGGCAAGAACAAGGAAAAUUGGAUAAUAAGGGAAUACCUUCACAUAGAGCAGGGGAAGCAGUAAUGGCUUAUAAUCAUCCCAAGUCGUAUCGAUAUUUCCUUCGUGCUAACACCAUUGCCUUUGUCUCUUCUCUCAGCACAAUAUUGCUGCUGAUAAGUGGAUUGCCGUUCAAGCGCAGGCUGUUCAUGUGGGGUUUGAUGGUUAUCAUGUGGUUAACAGUUACUACUACAGCACUCACUUAUGGCAUAUCAAUUUACAUCGUCACACCUAAAAAGGACAGCGAACCACUUGGUCAGGUUAUUGAAAUUGGAGUUACAGUAUGGUGUGGUUUAAUGGCACUACUCCUGCUUGGAAACACGAUACGUUUGUUGCGUAUAUGGCAGAAAAAGAGACAUAAAAUAAGAUCAGCAGCAGCAAAAAAAUCUGCAAAUUCAGGUUGUGUCAAUGUUUGAUAUGCUGUAUUAAGAGAAAUUUUCAUGUCUGUUCUUAAUUCUUAUAUCUCAUUAUUGUCAAAUGUUAUGAAUCUAAAUGCAUAGAUAAGUAAAUUGGUAUUCUUAAUAAAGUAGUCACCAUAAUAGCUUUUAAAUUGGGAAAAAGUAACAAUUUAAUCAAACAGAAACUUCUUGCUAGCUUCAAAAAUGGCUUGCAUCACUGUGCAUAUGGUUUAUACACUCACUUUGAUUAUUCAAACUGCUCUCUUUGUUUCUAGUUAACAUUUAUAUAUUAAAUUAAACAAUAUUGACAAUUCACUAGUACACAUAAUAAUUUAACAGACAAAUUUCUCUGCUUCUAGCUUAGUGUUUUCCAGUCAACCACAUCUAAACUUCCAGCUUUUAAAAUUACCAGUUAAAAGAAAGUUUGGCUCCAGUUCAUCUUUCUCAAUCAACCAUAAACAAUUGAUAAGAAUGCUUCAAUUAUUAAGUGCCGAUAGACUAUUAUAUGUCAAUGGAGAUUAAACUCAAAUUUUAUCUUCUUAUUUUUUUUCCUGUGCUUGACAUAUAUAUGAUUGACUAACAUUUAAUCACUUUUGAGCUGAAAUUAUUUUGGCGAUUUAGGUUAAAAUCCUUGUCUGAUUCUGAUAUUUCAAUAAAAUGUAAGGUGUUUUUUGCUAUAAAAAACGUGAGAUUUCUUUUCCCAACGUGUGAGAUUUUAAGUUUGGUUGUGCUAAACUUUGUAAUGUUCUGUUUUGAAUUUGCUAGUUAUGAAAAGAGAAAAUUUCAUUUGUAGCCAUUGGAAAAAAAACAAUGACAAUAGCUAGUUAUAAAAUAAAUUAUGCAAUUAACAGCCCAAAAAUAAUUAAAAAGUUAGUACUUCGUUACCUUCAAACCAGAUCUCCGGUAUUAUUUUUCUUCCUUGCAUUUCCCGUUAUCUCUCUUCUCUUCUAUAUUUUCUUCAGUUUCUCCUCUUCUUCCCCGUCCCGAUAUUCUCCCGAAACCCUAACUCCAUGAUCGAUUACUCCUUUGUGACCAAAUCUCUGCGAUCUCCGAAUCAGCUGAGAAUGCUAAGAAUCUGGACGAAUUCGCUUGGAAAAAGAAGUCGUUAACUAAUAUAUUUUUUCCAGAUUGAAGGAAAGAUUAAAAACCAAAUUUAUUAACAAAGAAGAAAAAAAAAAGUGAAGAGUUGGCACUACCUACAUUUACAACCUAUUAGUUUAAAUUGAAGAAAUAUUUACUUCUCAUCCCAUUGAUUUUUAAUUGUUGUUAACUAAUACAUCCGACAACAGAUUUUCCAUGUUAAAAUUAAAUUAUCUUUGAGCUAUGUAUACUCAUUUGGCUCUAAUGUCAAAUUGAAAGAUUAAAAGCUAAUUAAUCAACAAAGAACAAAGAACAAAGGUAAAAAUGAAGAAGCACUGUCUACAUUGAUCCCUUUAUUUUCUUAUGACUUACGUGGUUAUUUCAUAACACAUACAGAGAAAUUUUGAAUCUCACCUCUAAUGGUUGUCCUGUUCACUGC